rnacentral:misc_RNA from 1 species
GAUGAAGAACGUAGCGAAAUGCGAUACGUAAUGUGAAUUGCAGAAUUCAGUGAAUCAUCGAGUCUUUGAACGCACAUUGCGCCCUCUGGUAUUCCGGAGGGCAUGCCUGUCCGAGCGUCAUUGCUGCCCUCAAGCACGGCUUGUGUGUUGGGCCCCGCCCCCCGAUCCCGGGGGACGGGCCCGAAAGGCAGCGGCGGCACCGCGUCCGGUCCUCGAGCGUAUGGGGCUUUGUCACCCGCUCUGUAGGCCCGGCCGGCGCCUGCCGAUCAACCAAACUUUUUUCCAGGUUGACCUCGGAUCAGGUAGGGAUACCCGCUGAACUUAAGCAUAUCAAUAAGCGGAGGA